rnacentral:lncRNA from 1 species
GGCUCCUUGCUGACAUGGCCCAAGCAGCGGCAAAGUGGCGGCUCCAACUGUCCAUCCUCCUGUCCUGGGUGCUCUCCAUUUUUCGUUCCUAGUUUAGGUUACUGCUUUUUUUAUUUUUUUUGCGGGGAAGGUUACUGCUACCCUGAAAGUAUGUGAAUAUAGGACUGCUAACCCUCAGAAACUAGAUUAUCAGUACUUGCUAGUUUAGCCUGUGAAUAUGGGAUUAUGUAUGAUCUUAGAUGACCCCAUGAACUUUGGCCCGGAAUUUAAGGAUUGCCAAGUUUUUUGUUGGUGUUGCAUGGGUACGCCUAGGGAUGUAAGUGGACGUGUCCGUCAAGUGUACGAACUCCCGCAUUCAUGGUUUUUGUAUUAGCUCGGUUUUUAAAAGCAACAUUGAUUAGUUUAUUUUUGCCUUCUUGGAUGG